rnacentral:tRNA from 1 species
GGCUCGUUGGUAUAAGGGUAUGAUUCUCGCUUUGGGUGCGAGAGGUCGCGGGUUCAAAUCCCGGACGAGCCC